GGGUGAAAUCUGGUGCCUGCAGACUAGCUAGGGAGCGGGACAAGAGAUUUUAAAGCUGUUAAGACAUAGACCUAGAACAGGAUUAGAUACCCUGCUAUACUAAAGUUGAAAGUCGAUCGCUUAAGUAGUAAACAGUUAUAUCCUCGAAACUUAAAGAAUUUGGCGGUAUCUUAGUCUUGUUAGAGGAAUCUGUUCUAUAAACGAUAAACCACGAAGUAUCUUACCUCUUUUUGUAUGCCAGUUUGUAUACCGCCAUUAUUAGAAAGUUUUAAUAAAAAUCUGUUGAAAUAGUUAAGAAUUAAUAUAUUAGGUCAAGGUGCAGCUGAUAGGGGGGCAAGCAAUGGAUUACAAUGAUAUGGGUGUAUCACGGAUCAAUAAAUGAAAUCUCUGUUUUGAAGGUGGAUUUAAUAGUAAAGGUUAUUUAAUAAGUAGUCUUGAUAUUAGCUCUAAGAUGUGUA
rnacentral:rRNA from 1 species